rnacentral:lncRNA from 1 species
CUAAAAUGAAUAUUAGCAACCUUUAAAUAAGUUUUAAUAAAUAGAAUAAUUAUCAAAGAAAUGUUAUCAGAAGCUCUCCAGUUGCUUUAGUUUAUCAUUUUAAAUGUAAAACAAAAUGAAAAGUUCAUCAGCAGCAAAUUAAUAUUUAGUUGAAUCACCUCUGGCCUUGAUGAUAGCAGCACACUGUCAAAAUAUUGAUAAAAAUCAAGUUCUGAAAAUAAUCAGUUGAUAGUUCAUGGUUCCAAACAUGAAUUAUGGCUUUCUAAAUUUCACAAAGGAUCUUUGGUUUCUUUCUGGCAACCGCAGAUCCCACAUAAUGCCAACAGUUUUCUAUAAGAUUAGGUCUGGGCUGUUCCCUAGUCAGCUAAGAAUUGUAAUGAGACUAUUCUUCCAACCUUUUUUUGCCAGUUACAAAUGUAAACACAUUAUUAUGAAACCUCUAAUGCAGAAAUGAAGCAAAAGUAAGUAUAGAGGUGCCUACUUACACUUUUUGCCUGAUGACAAGAAGUAUACUUGUUCUUAAAGAUGCAGCAAUUUAGCAAGUUGAAAUGCUCUCUAAUGGUUGGAAGCAAUUUGUCUUCCGAUUUAGCUAGGUAUCUAUUAGCAUUUUAGGAAACAUUUAGAAAUUGCAUCUAACCUACUCCACAAUAUGAAAUGCACCUCUAUAUCAUUUGGUUGGUAAGAAAUUUCACUAUAGACUAUAUAUAUAUACAGUGAAACCUGUCUAGAGAGACCACACAAGGGACAUGAAAAAAU